UGGUAGUCCACGCCNUAAACGAUGUCGAUUAGCUGUUNGGCAGCAUGACUGCUUAGUAGCGAAGCUAACGCGUGAAAUCGACCGCCUGGGGAGUACGGUCGCAAGAUUAAAACUCAAAGGAAUUGACGGGGACCCGCACAAGCGGUGGAUGAUGUGGAUUAAUUCGAUGCAACGCGAAGAACCUUACCUGGUCUUGACAUGUACAGAACCCUUCAGAGACGGAGGGGUGCCUUCGGGAGCCGUAACACAGGUGCUGCAUGGCUGUCGUCAGCUCGUGUCGUGAGAUGUUGGGUUAAGUCCCGCAACGAGCGCAACCCUUGUCAUUAGUUGCCAUCAUUAAGUUGGGCACUCUAAUGAGACUGCCGGUGACAAGCCGGAGGAAGGUGGGGAUGACGUCAAGUCCUCAUGGCCCUUAUGACCAGGGCUUCACACGUCAUACAAUGGUCGGUACAGAGGGUAGCCAAGCCGCGAGGCGGAGCCAAUCUCACAAAACCGAUCGUAGUCCGGAUUGCACUCUGCAACUCGAGUGCAUGAAGUCGGAAUCGCUAGUAAUCGCAGGUCAGCAUACUGCGGUGAAUACGUUCCCGGGUCUUGUACACACCGCCCGUCACACCAUGGGAGUGGGGGAUACCAGA
rnacentral:rRNA from 1 species